rnacentral:rRNA from 1 species
CACGUAGGAGGCGAGCGUUGUCCGGAAUCAUUGGGCGUAAAGAGCGCGCAGGCGGCUUGGCAAGUCGGGUGUGAAAUCCCGGGGCUCAACCCCGGGACUGCAUUCGAUACUGUCAGGCUAGAGGUAGGUAGGGGAGAUCGGAAUUCCUGGUGUAGCGGUGAAAUGCGCAGAUAUCAGGAGGAACACCAAUUGCGAAGGCAGCUCGCUGGGACGUUACUGACGCUGAGACGCGAAAGCCAGGGGAGCAAACGGG